rnacentral:rRNA from 1 species
GACGAACGCUGGCGGCGUGCUUAACACAUGCAAGUCGAGCGGUAAGGCCCUUUCGGGGGUACACGAGCGGCGAACGGGUGAGUAACACGUGGGUGACCUGCCCUCAGUUCUGGGAUAAGCCUGGGGAACCGGGUCUAAUACUGGAUAUGACCUCAUGACGCAUGUUGUGGGGUGGAAAGCCUUGUGCGACUGAGGAUGGGCCCGCGGCCUAUCAGCUUGUUGGUGGGGUGAUGGCCUACCAAGGCGACGACGGGUAGCCGGCCUGAGAGGGCGACCGGCCACACUGGGACUGAGACACGGCCCAGACUCCUACGGGAGGCAGCAGUGGGGAAUCUUGCGCAAUGGGCGAAAGCCUGACGCAGCGACGCCGCGUGAGGGACGACGGCCU